rnacentral:rRNA from 1 species
UGGGGAAUAUUGCGCAAUGGGGGAAACCCUGACGCAGCGACGCCGCGUGAGCGAAGAAGGCCUUAGGGUUGUAAAGCUCUGUUUUAAGGGACGAAUGUCACCUUAAGUAAUAUGUAAGGUGAAUGACGGUACCUUAAGAGGAAGCCCCGGCUAACUACGUGCCAGCAGCCGCGGUAAGACGUAGGGGGCGAGCGUUGUCCGGAAUUACUGGGCGUAAAGAGCACGUAGGCGGGAACUUAAGUCAGGUGUGAAAGACCGGGGCUCAACCUCGGGUAUGCACUUGAAACUGGGUUUCUUGAGGGCAGGAGAGGAAAGCAGAAUUCCUGGUGUAGCGGUGAAAUGCGUAGAAAUCAGGAGGAAUACCAGUGGCGAAGGCGGCUUUCUGGACUGACCCUGACGCUGAGGUGCGAAAGCGUGGGUAGCAAACAGG